CAGUAGCCGCGGUAAAACGUAGGGUGCAAGCGUUAAUCGGAAUUACUGGGCGUAAAGCGUGCGCAGGCGGUUAUAUAAGACAGAUGUGAAAUCCCCGGGCUCAACCUGGGAACUGCAUUUGUGACUGUAUAGCUAGAGUACGGCAGAGGGGGAUGGAAUUCCGCGUGUAGCAGUGAAAUGCGUAGAUAUGCGGAGGAACACCGAUGGCGAAGGCAAUCCCCUGGGCCUGUACUGACGCUCAUGCACGAAAGCGUGGGGAGCAAACAGGAUUAGAGACCCCAGUAGUCCCUGUCUCUUAUAC
rnacentral:rRNA from 1 species